rnacentral:misc_RNA from 1 species
AAGUCGUAACAAGGUCUCCGUAGGUGAACCUGCGGAGGGAUCAUUACACGAUUAAAAUAUGAAGGCCCUUCAAACCGGCUGGAUUAUUUUUAUUCACCCUUGUCUUUUGCGCACUUGUUGUUUCCUGGGCGGGUUCGCUCGCCACCAGGACCACAUCAUAAACCUUUUUUGUUAAUGCAAUCAGCGUCAGUAUAACAAAUGUAAAUCAUUUACAACUUUCAACAACGGAUCUCUUGGUUCUG